UACUGUUAUAGUGAACAGUAGUUAUUUCUGUGAAUGUGGCCUGGGGUUGUGGUGGAGGAAGACUCUUUUUUUUUUUUUUUUUUUUAAUUUAACAUUUUUACAAGUUUGUAUCUAGUUAGCUAAAACAGGUGCCUACCAGCCUUAAUUUCUCCAGUCUUUCUUGAGACCAAACCCAGAAAGUCCUUCAGCCUCCAUGAUGAUUGGUCUAAGUGAAUGAGAGUGUUUGCUGUUGAUGUGCACUUUUCUCUUUGGUCCUCUUUCUCUAGCAUGAUUUUACUGCUUCAGUCAUCACACUCUCCAAUCCGCUCUCAUGAUCUUCCUACUUUAUUCUCGGAGAACAUUUUGCAGAUGAGCCAGCUCCCUUGUGAAGCUGUAAGAACAUGGUACUUACAGGAGUAAGGCUCAUGAAGUGGAGAGAUGAGAAGACUUUCGGGACAGAUUGUGUGGAGGCUGUCAUUCUCCUCGUGACAUUGCUGUGGGAGAAGAAGGAGGCAUUCCAUGUUGGCUUCAGUGAAGAACUUCAGGGAGUUAAUUGAAGAUACAAUACAGUCAAGCAACAGGAGGAAAGAAACAACAAAUGGGAGACAUGAGGUUCCGAGGAUCAUGGUUCCAACACAGGACAGCAGAAAAGAGGAGUUGCAAAAUGACUGCUACAAAACAGACUUAAAGAGAAAACAUUCCAGUUUCACGUAGGAGGACAAAAGAAAAAACAAAACAACAUGAAAGAAGGAUGGAGCAAAUGCCCCAGAUGAAGCCUACACGACAUGAGUCAGAGAACUUUGGCCAGGAUGUCUGGGGAAAAAGUUUCCUCUUUCUUCUCUGGGAACUAUCUGGAGAGGGUUGUUUUAACGCUGGAUGUGAACAGCGACUCGUGUAGCCCCAGAAGCCUCUGACAGCCGCGUUGGAAUCAUAAGUUCUCAAAAUGAAGGUUGUGGUCUAGAAAGCAUAUUGUGAUUUGUACAAGAAGCACAUUCCCAUUUUACAAAAGUACAAAAGCACAUUUUGGACUUUUAACAAAUUCAACUGUUUUGUGUUCUGUGUGAGUAAAUUUUAGGUUGCCCAUCAUUGAAAACCAGUUUAAAAAAAAAUAAUGGGAGUAGAUAAUCCAGACAACAUUUUCUACCGUAUUUGUUGACUCCAGUUGUUGGAAAGUAAAAUUCUGGAGGAAGAGCUGGGAUAUCUCCAGGGGCUUAGUUUAACAUCAUCAAAGACUCUCCUGCUCCCCCUUUGCAUGUUACAGUAUCUGCUUUACCAAUCAGAGGGAAAUUUAUCAUGUAGGAUUUAAAGGAGAUAUUUAUGGCGUCCGUAAGCACAAUGACUUUGACUGGUAAGACGUCAGCUAUUCCCUUUAGGAGAUAAAAGGCCACAGCUGGUGAGGUAAUAGAACAGGAACUGUUUCAAUAUUUCAAAACAGAAGACCUUGUUGAAGAAGAGAGAUUUUAUAUGGCAUUUGCUUUUAUUUUUUUCCUUCUAUGAUGAACAGGUGUGGGAGUCAAUUCAAGAAGGCAGCUUAGAUGAUUGUGAGACAAGGGAGGGAGGUAAAUAUUUUUGAUGGUUGGGGAAGGACUGAGAUUUUCAAACUUCAAACCAAACAUGUAGUCCAAGCCUUUUCUACCUGUGUACACAAAGGAAAGAGGAAACUAAGUCAAUGUAAAAUAGGCAGUUGUUGUUUGGAAAAGUUAUGAAAUCCUCCUGGCUACACAAAACAGAAAGCCCAGCUAUGUGACAAGUGUUUGAUGUAAAUAUGCAAAUGCAGUUUUAAAUUCAUUAUACCUAAGGGAACAAGGUGUCUGGGUAAGGGGGGUUCUACUGUUUCUUAAGCUUACAAAGCAGGUCCUUGAAUAAUGUCAUUUAAGUUCAAUGUAAUUUCCUUAUAAUGUUGAUGAGAAAAAAAAAAUGGAUUCCUAGCUGAAGUCAUUGUGUGUGUGGACUUUGCAUGUCCUCCCCAUGUCUGGUUUCCUCCCAAAACCCAAAGCUGUGUCCGUUAGAUGAAUCAGUGUGUCUCACUGGUCCCAGCGUGAGUGAGUGUUGCUAUGUAUGAGUGGGCCCUGCAAUGGGAAUGGUGACCUGUCUGGGGCUGGUUCCAGCCUGGUACCCUGAGCUACCAGAAGUGGCUCUGGCCCCUUGAGCUUCUGAACUUGAAUAAGUGGGUAAAUUAUUAUCUUACUUGUUUUUGUUAACCUUUCUUAAGUGUAUGUGUAGCUCACCUUCCUUUCAAAGUUAUUUUGAUGUUUAUUUCAAUAUUAGAAGUGUUUGGGUCUUUCUUUAGAAGUUUGGUGAUUUUUUUUUUUGUGACCAAAAUAUGCUGUAGCAACUUAACUCUUGUUUAGAUCGGUUAGCUUAUAGCAAAGCUAUUUUCGUUAUGUGUUCUUUCACUUGAAGUUCCAGUUUCCAAGAACCUAUUGUCCAAGAUAAGUAAGGACUUACUGUACUUCUGGGCACACAAUGGGCUAAGCAUCUUAUAUUAUCAAAUGAGAUGAAAUAAAAUAUAAUGCUAAAAUGAUGUUAAAAAGUUAUCACAUUAUAACAAAUUAUAAGAAUUAUUAAAAUGACAGGAUAUAUUAAAGCACUGUAAAAAGUAAAGCUUAGUAGAUGCAUUAGAGGUUAUGAUUGGCAUUGCUAACAUUAUUAUUAUUAAAAUCCUUCAGUGCUGGGCACCACUUAUUUCUACCCUUAUAACCCCAUGGACCUGUACUGUAUCUUGUAAUAAAACCCUCAAUAAAUAUUUGAUACAUUGCUGAAUAAAAGGUAGGUUGACUUCUUAAAGUACCUGCAAAAUACCUCAUCCACAAGAGAAAAAGGCAAGAGAAUAACCUUGCUUCAUGAAGAAAGUAUCGAUCAUUCAGGCGUUAAAUUUUCCAUUUGUUCAUUUUUUUUUUUUUCCAGCAGAAACUCUUGGAGAAAUUGCAUAGCAUUAUUUUAAACAAUUCCCCUCAGAGGCCCAUUAGAUAGGCUUUUCUGCAGACAGGAUAGAUGUCUUUUACAGCUGGUCAGUGUUUAGUUCUCCCAAUACUUGACUGAAGAAAGAAAAUAACUGGGAUGUAAGAUAUCUGACCUAUAGAUUGCUCAUUCUCUGCAUGAGUCAAUCUUUGAAGUCGGAAGAUAAAAAUCACCAUUAAUCACAAAACUUUCUUACCAUCAUAAGGUCAGAUAUCCCAGGGCCCUUCCAAAAUUACCACGUGGACUGGCAUAGGGCGAGAUUGGCUCAGCUGUGGUCACUUUUAUGACACAGAGCUCCUUCCCUCUGGUUGAUGAUAUUGAAUGAGCAGGAAGGAAGAAAAGAAAUAAAAGUCAGCUAACCAUGGUUGAGUCAAUCCAGCCCACGGCAUUCAAAGGCUGAAGGGCCACCUGACACUCCAGAGGCUGCUGGAAAUGCAGGGCUGUUUCAUCCUGGGUAUUUUCCAGAGAGAAGUACUGAGAAGCUUAAAGUAUUUGAAUGGGAGGAGGAGAAGCAAACUACAGCUACUUCAGAGGAUAACACUAAACACCUAGUCCACUCUGUAUACACUAGAGGUGCUGUUAAUUUUCUUGUGGAGAAGGAACUGUCUUUAGAAAAAUAUCUCAAAAAGCCACUGAAGUAGAAAGUUUCAGCAUGCUGAAGAUGGAACUUGAGAAGAUAGAAAGUUCUGGGUCCUUAGUGGCAUGACUGAGUCGCUGGACCACUGUUGGAACCACCCUAUGUCUUAGUUUUUAAAUCUCUUUACUGUCUAAGACAUUUUUAGUGGAAGUAUUUAUCUCUGGCAUCCAAUAAGACCUUUAAGGAUUUGCAGUUUUAUCUAUGUGUUUGUUUAUUGUCUGCUCCACCCUACUUGAUUGUGAUCACCAUGACAUCAAUGACUGUGCAUCUUUUGUUCACUCAGGAAUAUCCAGUGCCUGCCACGCAGAGUGUGCUGCAUGUACAUGCUCACUUGAUAUCUGUUGUAGCAAAGAGUGAAAGAGAGAAGGAAUAAAUGCUUUCUCCCAUGAUGAGGGGACAUGGGGUCCAGACAAGCUGGACCAUUAUCCCAGGCCCAGCGCUCUGCUUUAUUUUUUUUUUUCCAGUACAGCAUCACAUUCAGUUACAACAGAGUGAAAUCUCCUAAGAACACGGCUGAUUAUUUCUUGAUUGCAAAAAGGACUCACUAACCCUCCGAUCUCCUGUAACGCAAGUCAAUGCUCUUCUAAUCUCCUUUUAGACAGCACCUGUACUUGUCAGUCAACGCAUGGUAGUCUGGGCUAGCCAAGUGAAUCCUUAACUAAACUGAAGUGGUGCUGAUCAUUCAGCCUUCAGAAUUGAAAAAAUCACAGCAUUGCUGAAGGAAAAGGCAUUUUUCAGGUAGAGAGGCAUAAGUCUUGGGCCAGGAAGCUUCAGUAAGAAGACAAUAAUUUCAUAGAAAUGCAUUAGCUUGGGGAGUCCAACUGCUGUUCUUGCACCUAAGAAAUUCAGAGGAGAGCUCUUUGCUUCCUUGCUCAUUCCAGUGGUUAGGAGUCAGGCCUUGUCCCAGAAUGUUCAGGUUGAUGCUUACCAUUUAAGCCUUAAGUUAAUCCGUUGAAGCUCCAGGCCUUUUAUGGGAUUCACAAGAAUAAACAGCAUUUAACUAUAGAUUCUCAAAGGUCAAAUCUUCAACCUAAAUCUGAGGAUUCAAAGCAUUGUUCACUCUAAUAAUUCUGCUAGUUCCCAACUUCACACAAACCAUUUAUUUCAGAAUGUAAACCUUGAAUAAUCUUUUCUUACUUGUAGUUUUGUGGUCAUUUAGAAAACAGCAAUACUCUAUUUUAAUUGGAACUAAGUGACAAAAAUAAGCCACUUCAUUAGUUUUCUAGAUAACGGUAAAAUGUAAGAACAAAAAGCCACUUCUUUUUCCACGUGGUAUUUUACAGUGACUUUUUUUUUUCUUUUUACUGCAUUUUAAAAUUCUACUGGAGGCAUUUCUCGGAAACUUUCUCUUACUUGUUAAUGAAUCAUCCCCUUUGAGAAUCAGCAGGUGAUUUCAGGAGCCCAGGUGUGAAUAAUUGAUUUAAGGUCGACCUUGUGGGUGGAGCCAAUGUUUACCAAGUGCAUUCAUUCGACAAACAAUUGAUGAACACCAAAUUAGAGUUCAAUUCCAGAUAACAAAAACCAGUUGAACUAAUUUCAUCAGAAAGCUACUUAAUAGGGGUAAUUAGGUGCUUACAAAAUAGAAGGGCUGGAAGCCCAGGAUCUAGGCUGACACCCAUGUAGCUAGACCCUGGAAACUGGGAUUCCAGCUGCACAGAACAGCCAAGUGUGUUCAUGACUGUGCUUGUUUGUCAGCAGGAGCAUGGCCCUGCCUUGUGAUACUGUGUUUUUCAGCUCUCACGUGGCUGAGUCUGUUUGGAGAAGUUGGUUCAAGAUGCAGCUUGACUCUCAGGGAGUCUGAAUAACUACCCUUAAUAUUGUUAGCUUUCUGGUCUCCAGCACACAGUAUGAUUUUCUGGAAGAAGGAUUUAAUGUAGUUAAAUAUGCCAACGUGUAAUAUCUGAUGUACAUUUCUACCCUGCUUGGGAUACAAAAUAAAUAAAAGCCAGUUUCUGUCUGUAAGGAGUGUACAGUUUAGUAAGAAGACAGACUCCUGAACAAAGAUGUAUACUUCAAUGUUGCCAGCCCAGGAUUAGAGAUGGGUAUUAAGAGGACCUCUGAUGAGUGAUAUUUUGCAUCUGGUGCAGGACAGUUCCCUAGGUGGCCUUGGACCAAACCAGUCCUCCCGCUUUCUCACUUGUAGUUUUAAGAAUAACUAGAAUGUGCUGGGAAUGCAACAUCCCGAGAUAAGGCCUAGGCUCUGUUCCAGUCCCCGCUAGAAACAGGAUGUCCUUCAGCACAUUAAUCCAGCAGGUCAUGUUAUCCCUGGAGUAGAAAACCCAGAGACGGCUACUUUCCAGGGUCCUGCAUCUGGGGUGCAAGUGAGGCACACGCAGAUGAGACUCCACCUGCCCUGGGCAGCUUUCCUGAGCCUUGAGAAACCAGCUCACCAUGAAUCCAAGGUGUCUGCUGUUCCUUGCCACCAUUUCAUGGAACCUGUUGUAUGUGUGAGUAUUCUCUCUUACCGGAGCAAGUAGUCAAAGUGCAGCCCAAGAUGCAGUGGGCUGAAGUAACCAGUGCAUAGUGAGCCUGCUUCUCACUGGGAUUUGAUUAAUCAUUUGAAAAUGCAUUAUUCUAAGUGCUUAACUUUAAAAGGGAAAAUAUUCUACUAUGAACGUGGACUCCCUAAAACAACAGAUUAAGGGAAGGCUGAAAGUGAUGACCCCUUUAAUUCCUGCUUUCCCAAGGAGACCCUCUGAUUCCCUGUGUGGUCCUUCCAUUUCCCCUUCAGGAGGCUGAAUGCCAUCGUGUCCACUUAUUUAGGCAAAGGAGAUGAAUGGGUUGCUUGGCUGCGGUUAGUCAUCAGGCCACUGGCAGAGUAGACUGGCACACGGAAAUCCUGAAGCUGAAUUCACUGUUACCUUUUGAGUCACUGUUACCCACCCACCCCAGACUUCCUCCCACCCCUAGUCUGAACCUGGAUCCUAUUCAAAGAUGUUUUCCCAUCUCUUUCCACUUACCUUCUGAAUUCAUUUUGGAGGAAUGUACCAAGAUCCUUUGAAUCCUCCAGGAAUGUUGAACUCAGUGAAAAGUGAUGUGGUUAAGAAAGCAAAUAAUAUGCUGAAAGAUGUUCAUUGGAAGUGGCUAGGGACAUCAAAGAAAUUGAUGAAUCUGCAUUUCAAAAAGCCAGCAGGGGGUAACAUUUCAGCUUACCUCAUAUUUCUCCUGCUUCUAAAUUGGCUAUUUACUGCCCAUGAAGUUUCUUCCUUCCCAUCAGGGCAGAAUACUAAUAUAGUUAGCCCCAGGAAAGAGAUGUCUGGAAAUGGUAUUGUCUUCUUAAAUCAAAGCAGCUGAAAGAAAUUUGUCUCUUUUAUUAACAAUGAAAUAUAGUUGCUAUCAAUGAGCAUCUACUGUAUUUCAGGCACUGUACUUAAACACUCUACAUGCAUUAUGCCAUUUAAUCCUCAAUCGUAUUGCUGAGAUCGAUAAUAUCAUUGACCCUAUUGUAUAGUUUGGGAAAAGGAGGGUAGCGAGAUUAGGAAAAUCGCCCAACUUGGCAACUGCUGGAGCAAGGAUUUGAGCUCUGUUGACCAUAUUGAUCACUAUAUGAUGUUGUCUCAUUGCCUUUAAACAACACUAGGGUUGGGUUAGGGUAGCAGAGGAUGUAUAUAAUAACACACACUGUUUAGUGAGAGUAAUUUUCCAGAACAAGCAAGAAAGGAGAAAUGCUUCAAUAAUCUUCUGAAGUUUAGUUUCCAUGGACAGUUAUGGAUUGCUAAGAAAUUGUCAAUAAAGGUAAGGGCCACGGAAGAAGCAGAAAUAAGCUGCACAGGCCAGGCACUGUGCCAUGUCAGUGGCAGAGCCACACCGUCACCUUCAUCAGAGCCCAAGGUCUGAAGACACUGAAAAGAAGAUCUGGCCACCAAAUGCCCUCAACAAGGGGUUGUCCAGACCCUGCUUCAACAUUGUCAGCAGCAGGGCAUGCUCCACCUCAGCAGACAGCCACUUUUGUUUUCAAGUAACUCUCUAAUUGCAAAAAAUGUACUUUGUAUUCAUCCAAAUCGGUGUCCAGGUAGCAUUCACAAGUAUUUGGGAGGCAGAGGCAGGAGGAUUCCUAGAGGACAGGAGUUCGUAUCCUCUGAAAACAUGUAGAAUAAAUCCAACUCCUUUCCCAUAUGAUAGUUCUUUGGAUAUUCAAAGCCCUUCCCCACACACCCAGCUGGCUUCUUAACCAUCCUUCAUACUGUGUGGAUUUGAACCAUUCUCCAUUGCAGUCUUUCUCCUUUAGGCACAUUAUAGUUUUGCGAAAAGUAUUUUGUUAGGUGAAGUACACAAAAUUAAAUAAGGCAUGUUUAGUGUCUUUAAGUAUCUCUUAAAGACAAUUGUAUGAGAUUAACUAUUGUCAAAAGCCCCCUUAAAAACUCUUCCGAGGUUCUGAGCAUGGGUGGGUCAUGUCUGUAAUCCCCACACUUCGGGAGGCCAAGGCAGGAGGAUCAUUUGAGGCCAGGAGUUUGAGACCAGCCUGGGCAAUAUAGUGAGACCCCAUCUCUACCAAUAAAUUAAUAAAAAUUAAAUUAAAAAACUACACCUAGAUAUAGACCAUUUGAAGAGUUCAGAGUGGAACUAUGAUGUCCCUACCUUGGACAGUAUACCUCCUUUAAGGAGACCUAAGUUUACAUUAGCAUUUGGAGUUGUGUUGAGUCAACUAAGCCUCUAAGUGUUUUUCACACUGACAGCUGCUAAGCCACAAACCAAGGGCAAUCACUACAGAGACAUGGAAUAAGAAAGAAUGAGUGUUUUCCAGGCUUUCUCUCCCAUUUAGUGAUUUGUGUUCGCACUACCUAUUCAUUCAUUACUUUACUUACUUGCUCAUCCCACAAACAUUUACUGAAUACUUAAGUCUGUCUAAUUAUGCAUAACAUACUUGGGUGGCCUGAAUGGGAAAGAAAUAUCAGACAUUACUUCCUGCCUUUAAAGAGACCUAUAAUUUAGCUAGGGAGGGAAAAAGAAAAAUAACUACAAAACGAAGUAACCUCUCAAAGCAUCACAUAAUGGAAAAAACACAGAAUUGAAUCUGGAACCUGGGUUAUAGAAAAGAGCUUUUUUUUUUUUUUUUUUUUUUGAGCUAGGAUCUUGUCUAUCACCCAGGUUGGAGUGCAAGAUCACAACUCUCUGUAGCCUUGACAUCCUGGGCUUAAGGCAAUCCUCCCACCUCAGCCUCUGGAGUAGCUAAGACUACAGGCACACACCAUCACAUCCAGCUAAUUUUUCUAGUUUUGGUAAAGAUGAGGUUUUACCAUGUUGCCCAGGCUAGUCUCAUACUCCUGUGUUCAAGCGAUCUGCCUGCCUGGGCCUCCCGAAGUGCUCUGAUUACAGGUGUGAGCCACUGUGUCUGACCUAGACAAGAGCACUGACUAAAGAUAAUCACAUUUACUCUCUAGAUCUCAGUUAUCUCAUUUAAAUAAUGAGACACCUGGACUUUUGGGGUUCUUUCUAUUUCUAAGGAUCUGUGCUUCCAAGUGCAAGAUAACUGUAAGCUUCUUGAGGGCAGGGAUCAUACUUCAUGUACAACUGAAUUUCCCAUUAAAUUUGUUACAGUUUUAACUCAUAAUAUCACACAAUACAUAUUUAUUGAAUGGUCUAAUGAAUUCAGAUUAAAUUGGCUUCAGCUUGGGAUACAAAAUGGCUCCCCAGGGCAAUGGGAAAAUAGGCCUGGGAAUUUCUUUCUUAUUUAUUUAUUUUUUUAUUUUUUUGAGACAGGGUCUCACUCUGCCACCCAGGCUGGACUGCAGUGGUGCCAUCAUAGCUCACCACAUCCUCAACCUCCUGGGUUCAAACACUCCUCUCGCCUCAGCCCCCCAAGUGGUGGAACCACAGGUGUGUGCCACCAUGGGUGGCUAAUUUUUAAAUUUUUUGUAGAGACAGGGUCUUACUUAGUUGCCCAAGCUGGUCUUGAACUCCUGUCCUCUAGGAAUCCUCCUGCCUCUGCCUCCCAAAGAGCUGGGACUACAGGCAUGAGCCACUGCGCCCUGCUGGAAUUCUCACCCCGACUGUCACUGGGUGAUAUCAUGAAGUGAUGGUCCAAGGAGAGGUAUAUGCAGUCUUGAUGCUCAAGAACAGAGAUGACUCAUAUAUUCUCACAUAUGCCAUAAUUAGUGGAUGAGAUCCGAAUUACGAGCUGGCUACAUACUGCCUCCUAUUCCUCCUCGAGUUUCCUGCUCUCUCCUUCUUUAGGUAUUUCCAGCUCUGAAAAGCCUGUUUUACUUCAUUCUCUUACCAAAGAGUUUGGUGACACAAAAUGAAAAGUUUGAUGGACAAUCUGGAAGAGUCCCACUAAGCAACACAAGAAAUACGCUCUCACAAAGACCUAUUCAUGUUUUCCAUGUUUCAAAUAUGACUGAACCUGACAUAUAUAAGAACGCAAAAGAUUCUUCAAAAUCAAACUGUGUCCGGAAUUGGUGGGUUCUUGGUCUCACUGACUUCAAGAAUGAAGCCACGGACCCUGGCGGUGAGUGUUACAGCUCUUAAGGUGGCGUUUCUGGAGUCUGUCCCUUCUGAUGUUCAGAUGUGUUCGGAGUUUCUUCCUUCUGGUGGGUUCGUGGUCUCGCUGGCUCAGGAGUGAAGCUGCAGAUCUUCACGGUUGCUAGUAACACAAUAAUAAAGCUGCUUUAUUUUCCAGUGAAGAUGUAUGUGAUAGGGAGUGGAGGAAGAAAAAGGCCAGAAAAUUCCAUAGUUAGCAAAUAUACCUUUCUUACUUAAAAUUCUUUUUCCAAUGUGAGCCUUCUAAAGAGUUACUGAGAAAUUAGGUGAGCUCACCUCAUUUAAUGCAAUAGAUAUGUUUCUGAAAAAUAAGCAAUACAUAGGACAUUGGCCAAUUAAGAAUUCUGAUGAAGAAGAAUUUUCACAUCCGAAAGAGUAAAAAUGAAAAACGGUACAAAUGUAGUGGCUUUUAAAUUUCAAAACAAAUUAUUUUGAUAAGAUAAAUAUUCCUCUCAUAAAGUGAAAAUGGAAGAGACUGCUUGCUGGGUGUUCGUCAAAAUGGAGUUAGAUGGUCUGUCCCAGACUCCCCUGUUGUUAGUUCUGAGAACAGAAGUAAUGGUGCUUCUUCAGGACUGGCUCAUAGAAACCUGCCGUGUUCAGCCCCCACAAUCCUCUCCCUUCUGCUGGCUGGAAACAAAUGACAACGAAGCCUCACGUCUUGGAGAAACCACACUGCUGAGGAACUCAAGUCCUAGAAGAACCAUUUGAAGAGACCCAUCUCACUAAAGAAAAUCACACAAGCAAGAAGUAAACUUCAUUGUAUCUAUGUAUUUAAUUGUCAUAACAGUCUACCUUAACUGAUACAGCAAAAAUUCGCUCCUUUUCUGGACACCCAGUUUCAAAAUCUCAGUGUCAUUUUUUACUUCUCUCUUUUCAGGUUGUUUAAUAUAAUAAAAUUUGUGUGUGUGUGUGUGUGUGUGUGACAAGGUCUUGCUCUGUUGCCCAGGCUGGAGUGCAAUGGCACGCUCCCAGCCCACUACAGCCUUGACCUCCAAGCUCAAGUGUUCCUCCCACCUCAGCCUCCAGAGUAACUGGGACUACAGGCAUGGGCCACCACACCCGGCUAAUUUUUGUACUUUUUGUAGAGACAGGGUUUCACCAUGUUGCCCAGGCUGGUCUUGAACCCCUGGGCUCAAGCGAUCUGCCCAUCUCCACCUCCCAAAAUUCUAGGAUUACAGGCGUGAGCCACUACACCCAACCAUUUUAUUUUUAAAAGUUUUCUUUGCAAUAUUGCUCACAUUGUUUCCUUCCUUUUUAUUCUUAUUGUCACUCCCAAGUUCAGGCUUUUACCUCUUUUAUUUGAAGUAUUAAAGUAUACUUCUAAGUCAUUUCUGUGGCUUAAAUUUAUUUAAUCCACUCCAUCCUGCAUCCUACCAACACAAUAACAUUGUUUCAUCAUUUCAAAUUGAAAUCGAAACUCUCCAAAGCUUUCCUACUGCUGAAUGGAUAAAAACACAAAAUCCUCAAUAGAGAAUUCACUUUCUGGAGCCAACUUACCUUUCCAAAUAUUUCCCAUUAUUCCCUAAGAGAAUCCUCCUGACAUACUCACUGUUUUUCAUAUACACUAGACCUUUUCUCAACCACCUAUUUGUCCACACAUUUUUCUUCCAGCUAGAAUAUUAUUUUCCCUUUCUCACUUCUGAAAGUCUUACCUGUCAUUCAUGGUUCAUCUCAAGCUCAAUCUUCUCCUUGAAACCUUUAAGCAUACCCUCCUGGAAAGUUAUCUCCCUCACCUCGAACCACCCCCCCAGCCCCUGCCAGAAUCUCCUAUAGGGCUGAUUGUUUAUCCUGCUUAUUAUAUAUUUAUAAAACACUCCACUGAGUUAUUAAUUACCUUUUCCUUGACUGUGAAAACAUGACUCUGGCUUCAAGGUAGGACCAUUUUUUCUCUAACACUGUGUCUCAUACACUUCAGCACAAGCUCUUAGUGGCCUGUGCAUUCAACUCCCAUGCAUAGCCACUUCCUCCAGGCAAACCCCACAGCCAGCAUCCAAAUUUUAAAAGGGGUUCUGUCAUCAACCCAAAGUUUCUUCUCUCUCAAGGAACCUAGAUUUAGAAGUUGAGUCUAGGCCACCUGUCUAAGAUACAGUAGUUAAUUUAACAUAUUUUAUUGCUCUCAACAUCACAGAGAAAGAGCCUUACUGCAGAUCUCAUUCUUUCCUUCAAAGCCAGUUUGCCCAUUCCUCUUCAGAAACCUUUAAGAGUGGUUAUUGGGAGAGAUGAUAAGACUCCAUCUGCUUAAGGAGUCCCUCUAACCCAGAAUAGUAGAUGUAAACACCUGACAUGUUGUUAUAGAGUGAAUGUUUGUGUUCCCCUCCAAUCCAUAUGUUGAAAUUCCAAGCCCCAAUGUGUUCGCAUUGGGAGGUGAGGCCUUUGGGAGGUAAAUAGAUCAUGAAGGUGAAGUCUUCAUGAAUGGAUUAGUGUCCUUAUAAAAGAGACCCCAGAGAGCUCUCUCAUCCUGUUUCUGCCAUGUGAGGACACAGCAAGAAGUUGGUCAUCUGCAACCUGAAGUGGCUCCUCCCCAGAAACUGAAUCUGCUGGGGUCUUAAUGGUGGGCUUCCCAGCCUCCAGAAUUAUGAGUGUAAAUGUUUGUUGUUUAAGCUACCCAGUCUAGGGUAGUUUGCUAUACUACCCCAAACUGACUAAGAUACAUAUGUUUGUCAUCCACUCAGUUGUUUUCCUAAAAUAAAUGAAGUCAGCUCCAAAGAUGAAUUUUCAUCUCUUUUUGUAGAGAUGGGUGCUAUUAUGCUUUUUAAUGAACGUUUAUUCACAAAUAAAAACAAAACAUACCUCUCACAUCCUCAGAGCAAAUACUUACAGUAACAUACAUUGAUGCUCACAAGCUCAUUACAUUUCAUGUUUACUAUUCAUUGAUAACAUUACAUUUAUUAUUAUCACAUAAACCAUACCUCCUGUUUAUGAAGCACUUAUGGUGUUUUAGUCAAUGUUAUGGUACCUGCUAUAUAUGGUCUCUAAUUUUAUUUUAACUUCCUAUAGUAAACAAUAUUAGGUGCUAACUCAAUAGUCAUUUUCUAACCUGAUUUUUCCUUGCAAACAGAACCCCAAAUUUGUUUGGAGAGAAAUGUGUCCAAAUCCAAACAAAGCAUCACCAUUUCUUUGAACCAUCAUAAGGAUCUAAUCAUUUUUUUUGUUUUCCUAGCCUCCCUCUAGCCAGAGAUACUGGGUAACACAGUUCUGGCUGAGAAGACAAGAGAAGAAAUCUGCUAAGCAUUUCUGGAAAAAGUUUUGAUUUGCUGAUGAAAGGGAACAGACAUACUGGUUGCCUUCCUUUUCCCUUUCAGCUGCCUAGUCGCCAUUUUGCAAUGUGAAACAACAUCAUUAAGGAAAGAUCAAAACAAUUGCAGAGAUGUCAACCAUCAUGCCUUUGAAUUCAUGCUCACAGUUGUCUGCCUCCAGAUUCAGUUAUAUUUGAGGUACUCUUUGAGUUAAGAUCCUUCUCAUUUUAUACCACUUGCAGCUGAACACACUCCCCACUAAUUUACCUUGUAAGGUGAAUUUCACUUAAAGGAAGAACACAUAAGUCAGGGAAUGACACAUAAUAGUAAAUGCAGGGUUUUUUUUUCUAUUUAUGAUAUAGAUUUAUACAACUGCUAUGUUCUUGACAUUGUACCAAUUUCAAGGUACAAAUAAGACAUAAUCCCUAAAAGCAUGGGUUACAAAAUCUGGGUUCAGCAUAGGGUUUCAUGAUAAACAAACAAACACAAAUUGUUUUUUAUUGUAUUUCCUUCUUCUUCACAUCUUGUGAAUCUAAGAAAAAUAUCAGAAUGUUCGUUUCAGCUCAAUUUUUGAAGAGUACAAUCUCUAAGUAAAAAGAAACUGUAAAUGUUUAUAAAUGUAACUAGAGCCUAGUAGAAAAUAAAGCCAUGCAAGUGUGUUUAGGUCCUAAUCUUAUUAACCAGAUUAGUGACACACAGUCUGCCCAAAGUUAAUGAAAGCAGUGAGGUUCUUUGACUUCAGUAGAUACACACCUGAACCACAGAGAUAAACUUGCUUCAAACCUGUGCGAUAUGUUUUUCUAAGCAUAAAAUUGAGCAUGAUAGCUCCAAUUUCAGUCUCAGUUUCAAAGCUUCCCUUUCCCGAAUAAGAGGCAAACUGUCACAUUAAAUUUAGCGAAUUAAAAUCAGUUAACUUGAAAAGCUCUUGGCCCCAAUGCAGAGAAAAUUGUUUGCAUAAUAAUAACUUAUUUCCUUUUUUAAAAGGCGGACUUCUGCCUGAAUGCUUCUAUAAACUUUUAAGAAAAUGGGAUUCUCAAAUCUCAAGCGUAUUGGGUUGCAGUUGGCACUUGAAGCUGGGGACAUGCAGAGCUGGCUAAUGUCAGCAGCUGUAGGACUGUCAAGAAAAAUAGGUGGAAGGGACACUUUUAUUAUAAGUAGACUUGCAAGGCAUUCCAACUUUCAGCUGCUCAACCCAGUAUACCAAACACCUCUGACUACCUCAAGUGUGGCCUUGCUGAGUGCUUCCAUAUUUAGGGGUUAUUAGACAGGACUGAAGCAAGUGACCUCUAAUGAGGAAGCAAUCAGGGCAGGCUCUGACCCUCCUCAGAGGUACUGUAAUGAACUGGCCUUGGAAGGUCUUUGAUGCUGCCUUUGCAUACUGUAUAUGAGCUUUCUGCUCAGUCAUUUCCUCUGCGCUCUGGUAGCACAGCAUGAAGCCUGCUAUUAGAAAAAAGGUUUAUUGCUACCUUGCAAACAUUUAUUGGGUAAUAUCUAAAACAUGGUGUCAAGUUAUAGUAAUGCGCUGUUCUGGGAAACUUUUUGAGAAUUUUAGUGUUUCAGAAGAUGGUCCUUUGAGAAUUCUUCUGUUUCAGAAAUGAAAAGUGGUAGAUAUAUACGUGUGUGUGUAUAAUAUGCUCAUGUAUCCUCUGAUUACUUGCCAGAGAUGUACCAUUUUUCUUUCAAGGGAAACAUCUAUUCCUAAGAUAGAUUAUUCUUGAAAUUUUCAAAGAGUAUGCCUCAGAGAACAAAUAUACAAAUUUACCAUUUGUCUGCAGAUAUUAUUUGCCUGUGUUUAUGCUAGGUCACUGACACCACACACAUUUUAAUCCCCAAGGGAAUUUAUUUGGUGGUGUUAUCUACUCAACCAAGCUGAAGCUUAUCUAGUUCACAAGAAAAUAGUCAAUAUGAGCUCCAUGCAGACUUAUGCUGUUAAUGCAGAAGAGGGAAAGAGAAUUUACCUUUAACUGUUAUGAUGAAAAUGUGUACAAUGACACUUAACUAUGGCAUGCAAAUCCUCUUUUCCUCCCCCACAGGUAUCUGGAAAGUACCUUAUACAGCUAGGUGCUUAGAAAAUGUUUAUUGAUUAAAUAGAUGAUGAUUAACAGAUUAAUAAAAGGUGAAAGUUACUAUCUAUGCAUUUUUUUCCAGUUUGAUGUUCAAAAACUUACCAAUGGAUGGGGAGUUGCUUUUCAUAAACAAUUUAUAAAGCACUGUCCUGGAUGAAAUUGUAAAAAGGACGUGGUGUCAAAGAUGACUCAGUGGAGUUGAGGUGAAAAAUGUGUAAUGAGCAAAUCAUGGUAAUUGGGAUAUCCAUCACCUCAAACCCUUAUCAUGUCUUUGUGUUGAGGACAUUUCAAAUCUUCCCUUCCAGCUAUUUUGAAAUAUACAACAAAUUAUUGUUAAGUGUAGCCACCCUAGUGUGCUACUGUACACUAGGACUUACUUAUUCCUUCUAUCUAACUGUAUUUUUGAACCCAUGAACCAACAUCUCUUUGAUUUCCAGCCUGGGCUUUGGUGUCCCUUUUUUUGUGUGUUUUCAUAGGGCCCUAUAUUUAUAUUAUUUGGGCUCAACACAUUGCAAAACUGCAGAGGAGUUUACUAUUAUGCACAUUAUUAUUCUAUAUUCUGUCACUCUAAGAAACAAUAAGUGACCAUCUGAAGAGACCAUCUUCUAGCACCAAAAUAUUUAAAGAUGAUUAAGAAUAAGACAAGGGUCUCCUUAUUUACAAAAUGACAUAAUUGAAAGGACUAGAUUAUUAGCAACCCCUCUGGAAAAGGAUUACUCUUUUGGAUUUUAAUUACAUAACUAAUAUAUCAACUGAAGUGCUAUGCCCUGACGUGUGCUCCCCUCAGCUUCACGAUCCAUAUGUUGAAACCCAACCCCUUAAUGUGAUGGCAUUUGGAGAUGGGGCUUUGGAGAUAUUAGUUAGGUUUAGAUAAGGUCAUGAGAAUGGGGCUCUUAUGAUGAGAUGAGCACCUUCAUAAAAAGAGACACGAGGUAUUUCUCUUUUCUCUCUUCUCUCUCUCCCUCUUUCCCUCCCUCCCUCUCUCCUCCUUCUCUGUCUUCCUCCUUUAUGUGAGGACAUAGCCAGAAGGCAGCUGUGUCUGCAAGCCAGGAAGAAAGCCCUCACCAGGAAUCAACUAUAUCAGCACCUUGAUCUUGAACUUCUAUCCUUAGAACAGAGAGAAAAUGAAUUUCUAUUCUUGAAGCCACCCAGCCUACGGUAUUUUGUUAUGGCAGUCAAGCUGAAUAAGAUAUAUAUCUACACUGAGACCAUUAAAAGUAGUUCCUGAUUGGCAGAAAGGUUGUAUAUAUAAAUGGCUCAUUGAAAGUUCUCACUGCAUGGAUGAGAAAUCUCAGAUUGAGGUUCUUAAAUUUUGAAAAAUAGAAAUAAAGGAAUUAACGCAACAGUCUUCUAAUCUUUCUGCCUUCAGUUUUUGCUCCCUUUGACUAUUCUCUGUACACUGCAUCCAGAGGUUAUAUUUUGACAGGGAAAUUCAAAUGAUGUAUAUUAUUUUUCUACUCAAAAUCUCCCCACUGGCACCCUAUUGUCCUAAAGCAUAAACUGCUAUUGCAGUCAAUUCACCUGAAAUAAGCUCUCUUCCUGCCGCGUCUUUUACAUAGAUUGUUUACUCCUCUUGUGAUCCCAGUUCCCUGCUUCUCCCUCUCCUCCACACUUUUCAAUAAUUAAAUUAUACUCAGCGUUCAGAAUUCAGUCAGGAUAUCCUACCUUCUUUGGUCAGCCCCCCAGGGUUUUCUGAAAGCUGGGAAGAGGCCCUCUUCUGCAAUCCCCAUGCACUGUAGACACAUCCCCUUUAGGUCCCUAUGUUGUGAGUGACUGUUUUCUUGUCUGUCUCUGCCACUAUAUUAUGCACUCUUAGAAGGCAAGGACUACUUCUCUUCAUUGUAUACCUAGAACUUAACCCAAAAACUGGCAUGUGCAUGCACCCAAGUUUUCACUGAGAAAAUAAUUGCAUGAGUCACUUGCUUUCCAGGUCUUUCUGACUACUAUGAUGGUGAUGACUUGUAGUCACAACAUGAAAUUGGUUUCUGCCCCUGAGGAUUGUAUCUCUCUACUUUGCAUGACCCCUAGAUUUCAAUCCCUCUUUAUUCUCUCCUGAUCCUUGGGUUCCAGUAAUUCUCUGGGUUUCAAAUAUAAGCACAGUGUGAGGAGCUCUUCAUUCUUGACAGAACUUUCAGGCAAGAAAGAAAUAGAUUCCUGGGAAUAUCUAUAUUCCCUCUGGCCCUAUUCCUUACUCCCAAAACAUAAUAACCCUUUUCUUAGGUUUUUUCUCUCUACCUUUUUACUUCUUCCUUAUUCUCACGAUUACAUGAAUUAACUGCCUACAGAGUAUGAAUUCAGACUGAAUUAAUAUGUAUUUAUGUGACAUAAAAGAUCUCUUUCAGUACUUCUUAAUCUUACCAAAUGAUGCAUACUAUACAAUAAAAAAUUGCAAUUUUUUCAUUAGCUUUUUUUUUUUUUUUUGGUUUCUGGUAGGGUUUUCCUUUAGUGGUAUUUUAGCAAGUAAUACAAUCCAGUUAUUUUUAAAAGUAUAUUAGUAGAAACUCACCAGAAGUCAAUAUACUGGUCCAAGAAUAAUUAACUGAUUGACUUUAUUGUUUAUGAAACUUUGUAAUGUUCCUUUUGAUGUGAAUGCUUAUCUUAGGGGGAAAUGCACUUUUCAAAUAUAAAUGAUCAUGUUUAAACAAACUGCUUCUAGUUUCAAAUAUGGCACUGAAAAACAAAAUAAAAUAAACACUCAAUUUUUAUUUAAAAUGGUGGGCAAUUUACUUUCUUUUUUGUUUGGGAUCUGAUUCAAGAGCCUCAAUUCAGCUUAUUGCAGAACUAACUAAACUAAACCUCAAAGGAAAAAUUUUAAAAAUGAUUUUUAUAGCAAUGACAUCAUUAUAUAAAAUGUUGGCAUUUCAUAUUUUCCAAACAGAAACUUGGAAAUAACAGAAUACAAGUUAAAUAAAACAAAUUGAAACUAAUCCAAUUCUCUGUUUUUCUUUCCCUUUUUAAAAACCAAGCUUUUUAUUGCCAGCUUUUACUUUGCAUAAUAAUAUAUGAUGAAUUGUCCAAGAAAGACCCAGUGGGUACAUUUCUCUUAGAAAUAAGCCUCUCUAUGCAAUAGGAGGCCAAGUUCUAGGGCAACAUACUUAUAUAAUCAUGUAAGAUUUUCCUUAUUGCUAACAAUUGACCAACCUGGGCAUUUGUCAAAUAUGUAAACACAUGGAGGUCACUGGUCACCAGAGGAUUGAAAACACAAAUCACUCUAUUCAUAUCCAUCCCUAGUUCUAGAAAAACAAUACCAAAUUAAAGCAUAUAUCCUACUAGCAAUAGGACUAGCAAAAUUAUUUUGGUAUACCAGAGCUACAUGUUAUACAUUUUGCUACUUAUGGAUUUAAUUACUCAGGAUAAUUAUACACAUGGCUACAACUGUAAACUUUAUAAUAUUUUGCUGGCAUACCUUCCAAAAGAGUUUGAAAAGCUAUGAAUUUAAUUCUAUAUUUGCAUUUGACAUAUAAAGUAC
rnacentral:lncRNA from 1 species